UGGGGAAUAUUGCACAAUGGGCGCAAGCCUGAUGCAGCCAUGCCGCGUGUGUGAAGAAGGCCUUCGGGUUGUAAAGCACUUUCAGCGAGGAGGAAGGUGGUGAACUUAAUACGUUCAUCAAUUGACGUUACUCGCAGAAGAAGCACCGGCUAACUCCGUGCCAGCAGCCGCGGUAAUACGGAGGGUGCAAGCGUUAAUCGGAAUUACUGGGCGUAAAGCGCACGCAGGCGGUUUGUUAAGUCAGAUGUGAAAUCCCCGGGCUCAACCUGGGAACUGCAUUGAAACUGGCAAGCUAGAGUCUCGUAGAGGGGGGUAGAAUUCCAGGGUGUAGCGGUGAAAUGCGUAGAGAUCUGGAGGAAUACCGGUGGCGAAGCGGCCCCCUGGACGAAGCACUGACGCUCAGGUGCGAAAGCGUGGGGAGCAAACAGG
rnacentral:rRNA from 1 species